GGAAUGUAGCUUAGUGGUAGAGUGUUUGCCUAGCAUGCAUAAGGCCCUGGGUUCAAUUCCUUGAUACCA
rnacentral:tRNA from 1 species